rnacentral:rRNA from 1 species
GAUGAACGCUAGCGGCAGGCAUAAUACAUGCAAGUUGAACGGGAUUGGAGUCGCAAUAUUACAUGAGAGUGGCGCACGGGUGCGGAACACGUAUGCAGCUUGCAUUGAACAGGGGGAUAGCCCGUGGAAACAUGGAUUAAUACACCAUAGCAGAUUGAUAAGGCAUCUUAGUAAUAUUAACACUUCGGCGGUUAAAGUUGGGCAUGCGCGUCAUUAGCUAGAGGGUAAGGUAAUGGCUCACCAUGGCAACGAUGACUAGGGGGUCUGAGAGGAUGUCCCCCCACACUGGUACUGAGACACGGACCAGACUCCUACGGGAGGCAGCAGUAGGGAAUAUUGGGCAAUGGUCGCAAGACUGACCCAGCCAUGCCGCGUGCAGGAAGACGGCCCUAUGGGUUGUAAACUGCUUUUAUCAGGGAAGAAACCCUUCUAUGCGUAGGAGGCUGACGGUACCUGAGGAAUAAGGAUCGGCUAACUCCGUGCCAGCAGCCGCAGUAACAC